rnacentral:rRNA from 1 species
UAUAAAUUAAUAAAAUUGUUUUAAUAUAAUGUUAAUGAGAAUAGAAUAUAUAAAAGAUAUUAGAGUUGAUGUAGAAUUUAUUGAUUAAAUUAUUUAAACUAUAGUUAAUUAGUACUGUGAAGGAAAUUUAAAAGUGUUUAAUUUGAUUAAUAAAAGGUAAUUUUAUUUAUUGUAUCUUGUGUAUCAGAAUAUAUUAAAAAAAAUUAUUAAUUUUAUUUUUCUCGAAUUUGAAAGAUUUAAUUGAAAAUUUUAGUUAUUGUGUCAUAAUUAUUAAUAAUUUUUAGUUGGUGAUGAAAUGUUAAUCGUUUUUGAGGAUAUCUAGUUUUUUAAUAAAUGAAUUUAAUUCAUGGGGUAAAAUUUAUUUAAUUAUUAGUUUAUAAAAAUAUUUUUUGCUUUAAAGUUUUAGGGGGAAUAACUUCUGAAAUUAUAAAUUAUAAUAAUUAGUUAUUGAGGAUUAUAUGAAUUUAGAAUUUGUUAAUAAUUAAAGUAUGUAAAAAUUUAAUUCUUAUUAUUGGAGAUUUUUAAUUAAUUUAAUUUAUUUAUUAAAAUAUGAAUUCAAAUUUAGACUUUUUGGGAAUAAUGAUUUAAUUAGUAAAUAAUGAAUUAAUUUAUUAUUAGUGAUUGGAAUAUUAAUAUAAGGAAUUAGGCAAAUGUUUACUCGCCCUGUUUAUYAAAAACAUGGUUUCUUGAUAAUUUUUAGGAAAUUUGACCUGCCCACUGAAAAUUUUUGAAGGGCCGCAGUAUUUUGACUGUGCAAAGGUAGCAUAAUCAUUAGUCUUUUAAUUAAGGGCUGGAAUGAAAGGUCGGACGAGGUAAAAUCUGUCUUAUGUUAAUUAAAAGUUGAAUUUAGGAUUUAAGUAAAAAAACUUAAAUGAAAUUAAGGGACGAGAAGACCCUAUAGAAUUUAAUAAAUGAAAUCAUUAAUCAAGUUUAUAAAGAAUUUUUGAUUAUUGAUAUAAUUUAUUUAAUUGGGGUGAUUAGAGGAUAAAAUUAACUCUUCUUUAAAAUAAAUAUUAUGAAUAAUUAAGUGAUCCACAAUAUGUGAUUGAAAGAUUAAAUUACCUUAGGGAUAACAGCAUAAUUCUUUUUAAGAGUUCAUAUCGAAAAAGGAGAUUGUGACCUCGAUGUUGGAUUAAGAUAAAUUUUGGGUGUAGAUGUUCAAAUAUUAAGUCUGUUCGACUUUAAAAAUCUUACAUGAUCUGAGUUUAAACCGGCGUGAGCCAGGUUGGUUUCUAUCUUUAAUAUAAUAAAAUGUUUUAGUACGAGAGGACCAAACAUUUAAAAUAAUUUUUAUUUGAUGAAUAUUAUUAAUU